ACUCCUCAUGUCGUGAUCUCCUUGAACAGCCAAGCAGGGUUAGCGACAAAACAAUCUCGCUUUCCCUUUCCCAAAGUCAAAAAUUGCAUCAGCAGGUCAUGACAUGCCAAUGAGAGGCUUUGUAGAUGACCUUGAUUCUUCUUUGGCUCGACAUGGAAACAUGGGUUCAGAUCUCUCCAUCAUCUCACUUGAUGCUCUGAUUCAAUUUAAUUGUAAAUCCUCCCAUAUGAUUUCAGAGUUUAACACUGUUAGAUUGGAGUUGAGGUAAAAUGACGUCUCAAGGAGAGAGCAGCUGGGUUACAAGUGAAGAGAGCCUGAUCAAGUCCCUCAUUCCCUCUCCAGUGAAGCUUCCGACUAGCCGCCUGUCCACCAGAGUAUUUGAACUCAGCCGUGAUUCCACCUUCACACAGUCAGAAAAAUCGAUAGAGAAGACGAAGAAUUGAUAGCCUCUAACUAGCGCAAAAUUAUAUGACCAAAGGGAGAUUCGAUCACACCGAGUUCAUGCAGAAGACAUUGAAUUACUCUGGAUCUUGGAAAAUAUUGACACUAGACGUGCGAGAAGGACCUGCUUCUUCAAUCUUUUC